rnacentral:rRNA from 1 species
CCUACGGGAGGCAGCAGUGGGGGAUAUUGCACAAUGGGGGAAACCCUGAUGCAGCGACGCCGCGUGGGUGAAGAAGUAUUUCGGUAUGUAAAGCCCUAUCAGCAGGGAAGAAAGAAGACGGUACCUGACUAAGAAGCCCCGGCUAACUACGUGCCAGCAGCCGCGGUAAUACGUAGGGGGCGAGCGUUAUCCGGAUUCACUGGGUGUAAAGGGAGCGUAGACGGCCGUGCAAGCCAGGAGUGAAAGCCCGGGGCCCAACCCCGGGACUGCUCUUGGAACUGCGCGGCUGGAGUGCGGGAGGGGCAGGCGGAAUUCCUGGUGUAGCGGUGAAAUGCGUAGAUAUCAGGAGGAACACCGGCGGCGAAGGCGGCCUGCUGGACCGCGACUGACGUUGAGGCACGAAAGCGUGGGGAGCGAACAGGAUUAGAUACCCUUGUAGUC